rnacentral:rRNA from 1 species
AUUGAACGCUGGCGGCAUGCCUUACACAUGCAAGUCGAACGGUAACAGGUCUUCGGAUGCUGACGAGUGGCGAACGGGUGAGUAAUACAUCGGAACGUGCCCGAUCGUGGGGGAUAACGAGGCGAAAGCUUUGCUAAUACCGCAUACGAUCUACGGAUGAAAGCGGGGGAUCUUCGGACCUCGCGCGGACGGAGCGGCCGAUGGCAGAUUAGGUAGUUGGUGGGAUAAAAGCUUACCAAGCCGACGAUCUGUAGCUGGUCUGAGAGGAUGAUCAGCCACACUGGGACUGAGACACGGCCCAGACUCCUACGGGAGACAGCAGUGGGGAAUUUUGGACAAUGGGCGAAAGCCUGAUCCAGCCAUGCCGCGUGCAGGAUGAAGGCCUUCGGGUUGUAAACUGCUUUUGUACGGAACGAAAAGCCUCUUUCUAAUAAAGAGGGGUCAUGACGGUACCGUAAGAAUAAGCACCGGCUAACUACGUG